rnacentral:rRNA from 1 species
GACAGAGGGUGCAAACGUUUGUUCGGAAUUACUGGGCGUAAAGCGCGUGUAGGCGGCAGGGCAUGUCGGAUGUGAAAUCCCCGUGGCUCAACCACGGAAGUGCACCCGAAACUGCCCAGCUUGAGUCUCGGAGAGGAAGGCGGAAUGCUUGGUGUAGAGGUGAAAUUCGUAGAUAUCAAGCGGAACACCGGUGGCGAAGGCGGCCUUCUGGACGAUGGACUGACGUGGAGACGCGAAAAGCGUGGGGGAGCAAA